AUAUAUAUAUAUAUAUAUAUAUAUAAUAUUAAUAUAACAAAAAAAGAAUUAAAGAAUAGUGGAAAAUAAAAUCUUGUAAGGAAAAUCAGGGUAGUGUGACAUCAAUUAAAUUAAAGAGGUAAAGAACCAACAGGUGACAAUGUGUUGUCUUAAGCUUUAAUAAAAUAAAAUUAAUGUAAAGGAUAAGGAGUUCAAGUAUUAUAUAAGAAUAUGCUUUAUAUAGGCUUUGUUCCGACAUUUUUACCGUGUUCCGCAAUUGUGACUUCUUAAAAAAUCCUGUUCCGUAAUUGUGACUGACCAUAUCUCAGUCGAUUUGAAUGUUAAAUUUUAAUAUCUGUUGAAAAACUAAACAAUGAGUCUAUUUUUAUCAAAAAAUGGAUUGGCAAUGCCUAGAUACUUUUAGUUUUUCCAUAGGUCUAACCAUUACGGAGCAAAAAAUAGAAAACUAAAAGUAGCUGCAAACUGUUCCAUAAUAGUGACUCUACUCUAUAUUCAAAUUGUAUUCAAAAUAAUGCAUUGCAACUACAAACCUAAACAAGGGCUAAUUAACAUAAAGAGGAGCAAAUUAUCCUAUGAUGAAGAAAUAUAAAAUUGAGAAUUAGAAGAGCUUGCCUAUUCUUUUCGUUGCUUUUGUACAGCGCAUUGUUCGUGCUUAUAGCAUGUUCAGUGCACAUUGAUCUCUUUUCUGGACAUGUGGGAUGGGGUACACAACUUAGCUUGUGUCUAGAGUCACACUCAAGCCUCCUUGAUAGGUAGCUAAGUGGUUUAAGUCACUAAGCCUCACAUCCCUUUAGAAAAAUUUUAUUUUAAAACUAAUCUCAAAAGUUUAGCCAACAUAGCUUUGAAAAUAUGAUGUAGUGGCCCAAUUUUUUUUUUUCUCAUUGUUACUGCCCCUCUCCCUUUUGUUUUCUUCCUCACCAAAAAAAAAAAAGUUAUCUCCAUGACUUCCUCUGAAAUAGCAACAGCAAUAAAAUGUAAAUUUGAAUAUCAUUUUUCUUUUUGCUUUUGUAUUUAAAGUUUAUAUAAGUUUGAUAUUAAAUUUACUUUCCCCUAUAGCUAACCAUUUAGCUUGGCUUUUUGAAACAAAUAAAUGAUAGAGAUCUUCAGACAUGAAAGUCUUUCUUUAAUUCUAAACAUAACACAGAAUUGUGAAGUUUCUUUUUUAAAUAAGAAUUUUUGUAAACCCAUUUUCUUGAAAUAGCCUUUAAUUAUUCCAAUGCCUAUAAAGGUAGAUCUAGUAGGAAAUGGUAAUUAUCAGAAUAAAAUAAAAAGAUAAACAAGGAUAUAAAUAUUUUGUUCUCAUUCUUGAGCCUAAUUGUGAUGGACGAUACCAAAAUUGCAGCUUUUUAACAAUUUUUAUUGAACUCAUUGAAUAAAAUACCUCAUUGUCUUUUUCUGCUCUUUAAUAGAAAGAGGUUUUAAAAAAUGUAUACUUUUUAAAUAAUAUACAAAACACAGCUAUUGAAAAAUGUUUCAACAAAAAUUACUGGCCAAAUUGGAUUAAGAAUUAGCGUUUACACUAGAACAACUAA